rnacentral:rRNA from 1 species
UACGUAGGGCGCAAGCGUUAUCCGGAAUUAUUGGGCGUAAAGAGCUCGUAGGCGGUUUGUCGCGUCGGCCGUGAAAACUUGGGGCUUAACUCCAAGCUUGCGGUCGAUACGGGCAGACUUGAGUUCGGCAGGGGAGACUGGAAUUCCUGGUGUAGCGGUGAAAUGCGCAGAUAUCAGGAGGAACACCGGUGGCGAAGGCGGGUCUCUGGGCCGUAACUGACGCUGAGGAGCGAAAGCAUGGGGAGCGAACAGG